AAUGACGGUACCUGAGGAAUAAGCAUCGGCUAACUCCGUGCCAGCAGCCGCGGUAAUACGGAGGAUGCAAGCGUUAUCCGGAAUGAUUGGGCGUAAAGAGUCCGUAGGUGGCAUUGAAAGUCUGCUGUUAAAGAGUCUAGCUCAACUAGAUAAGAGCAGUGGAAACUACAAAGCUAGAGUUUGGUCGGGGCAGAAGGAAUUCCUGGUGUAGCGGUGAAAUGCGUAGAUAUCAGGAAGAACACCGGUGGCGAAGGCGUUCUGCUAGGCCGAGACUGACACUGAGGGACGAAAGCUAGGGGAGCGAAUGGGAUUAGNAC
rnacentral:rRNA from 1 species